rnacentral:rRNA from 1 species
UACGUAGGGUGCGAGCGUUGCCCGGAUUUAUUGGGCGUAAAGGGCGCGUAGGCGGUGGGGUAAGUCUGGUGUGAAAUCUCGGAGCUCAACUUCGAAAUUGCACUGGAUACUGCUCUGCUAGAGGGCUGGAGAGGAGAUCGGAAUUCACGGUGUAGCAGUGAAAUGCGUAGAUAUCGUGAGGAAGACCAGUGGCGAAGGCGGAUCUCUGGACAGCUCCUGACGCUGAGGCGCGAAGGCUAGGGGAGCAAACGGG